UACGGAGGGUGCGAGCGUUGUCCGGAAUCACUGGGCGGAAAGGGCGCGUAGGCGGUCUGCUAAGCGUGCGGUGAAAGCCUGGGGCUCAACCCCAGGUCUGCCGUGCGAACUGGUGGACUAGAGUUCGGAAGAGGCGAGUGGAAUUCCCGGUGUUGCGGUGAAAUGCGCAGAUAUCGGGAGGAACACCUAUGGCGAAGGCAGCUCGCUGGGACGUUACUGACGCUGAGACGCGAAAGCGUGGGGAGCAAACAGG
rnacentral:rRNA from 1 species